rnacentral:rRNA from 1 species
CCUACGGGAGGCAGCAGUGGGGAAUAUUGCACAAUGGGGGAAACCCUGAUGCAGCGACGCCGCGUGAGUGAAGAAGUAUUUCGGUAUGUAAAGCUCUAUCAGCAGGGAAGAAGAAAGACGGUACCUGACUAAGAAGCCCCGGCUAACUACGUGACAGCAGCCGCGGGAAUACGUAGGGGGCAAGCGUUAUACGGAUUUACUGGGUGUAAAGGGAGCGUAGACGGCUGUGCAAGUCUGAAGGUAAAGCCCAGGGCUCAACCCUGGGACUGCCUUGGAAACUGUGGAGCUAGAGUGCUGGAGAGGUAAGUGGAAUUCGUGGUGUAGCGGUGAAAUGCGUAGAUAUUAGGAGGAACACCAGUGGCGAAGGCGGCUUACUGGACAGUAACUGACGUUGAGGCUCGAAAGCGCGGGGAGCAAACAGGAUUAGAUACCCCAGUAGUC